UUUAGGUGGGAUAAGAGAGAAGUUUGUUGUGGGGGGAGUCACGUGAGGCCGGGGUGACGUCACGGGCUGGAAGCGGGAGAAGAGGGAAGAGAGUGGAAUGUGGUGACUGUCAGAGAGGGAUAAAGUUUUACCUCACACACAGGAAGAGGCAGGACAAACAAGGCGUUCUUUCCGUGAUAUUUAUUACUGGAAGCUUUUGCACAGUGGCUAAGUCUUAAGCUGAAUCACUGCAAAGACCUGGAGAAAAUAAACAAAGAUCACCAAAAUUCAAGUAAUUCUUCUUCAAUCAAAUGAGUAGCAGGAACCCGUGUGUCUUGUGCUGCGCCUGAAGACAGAAAUUGG